rnacentral:rRNA from 1 species
UGGGGAAUUUUGGACAAUGGGGGAAACCCUGAUCCAGCCAUCCCGCGUGUGCGAUGAAGGCCUUCGGGUUGUAAAGCACUUUUGGCAGGAAAGAAACGUCGCGGGUUAAUACCCCGCGAAACUGACGGUACCUGCAGAAUAAGCACCGGCUAACUACGUGCCAGCAGCCGCGGUAAUACGUAGGGUGCAAGCGUUAAUCGGAAUUACUGGGCGUAAAGCGUGCGCAGGCGGUUCGGAAAGAAAGAUGUGAAAUCCCAGAGCUUAACUUUGGAACUGCAUUUUUAACUACCGGGCUAGAGUGUGUCAGAGGGAGGUGGAAUUCCGCGUGUAGCAGUGAAAUGCGUAGAUAUGCGGAGGAACACCGAUGGCGAAGGCAGCCUCCUGGGAUAACACUGACGCUCAUGCACGAAAGCGUGGGGGAGCAAACAGGAUUAGAUACCCUGGUAGUCCACGCCCUAAACGAUGUCAACUAGCUGUUGGGGCCUUCGGGCCUUGGUAGCGCAGCUAACGCGUGAAGUUGACCGCCUGGGGGAGUACGGUCGCAAGAUUAAAACUCAAAUGAA